GCUUUAAUAAUGCUGGGACAUUAAUAUCCUGAAGCAGUUCUCUUCCAGUGUUCCCAGACAUCAUGAAAUGUGAUAGGAAAUUCACCUCCUCUCAUGUGUCUUGUCUACACAUUGGUUUUCUGCUUCCUUAAUCUCUUUAUAGCAGGGUGUCUGGCUGUUAAAUAGCCAACUAUUUAUAAAUCUCUACAGAAACUUUCUAGACUUGCUCUUCUAUUCGAGUGAACUUCUAGAGCUGCCUUUAAAAUUUCAGAACCCUAGGUAUUUUACAUGUAAUCAUAUUGUCAUUCUGUAAGGGCAUAGUUAAAAAGAUUUUAAAAGUGGAAAUUUGAAUCAAAGACUUAAAUUUCAACUUUUUUUUUCCUAAAAGGGAAAGAUUUUUGUAAGAGAAAAUGAAGGAGUAGAGAAAAUUACCAACAAGAACCAUGUUGCACAAUGUUAAAACACAGUUUCUGCUAUUAAGAUGCCAAAAAUAUAACAGGAGGUAGAAGAGACCUAGAAGUCAUUUUAAAACAUGUCCUUGUUUCACAGAAAGGUGACAUGACAUUCUGAUUUACAUAGUAAAUGCUAGAGUCAGGGCAACUCUUUAUAUUCCUGAACUAGAGCUCCUUCAUUACACAAAUACCAUUCCAACAAGUAAAACCCAAGUCAAUGACUUAUAAAAGAUUCAAAGAGGAAGAGGCAUUUGAGGUAGACAUUGAGAGAAGCAUAGGACUUUCCUGGGUAUGUAUAAUGAUUUCUGCAACAAGAUCAAUGAGAUAUACUUUGCUGUUGAUAAACGCUGAGGGAGCAUUGGAGGAGGAAGGCAGAGGGCAGAAGACAAGGAUUUGAGGAAUGAGAAGCCACACUGGAGUGAAGACAAUAAUUGAAGAUACAUCUUUCCAGAAGUUUGGAGGCUGAAGGAAUGGGAGGGAUUGGCAACUUAAAUGGGUACUGAGAUGAAAGGAAGGUUUAUUGUUCAUCGGUGUCGAAUGCAGGAGACUAACAUAUAUUGGCAGUAUGCAAAGGACUAAUGGAGAUUGAAGAUUUACGAGAGAGGGAAUAAUUUAUGAAAUAAGUUCCCAGAGGAGGCAAGAAGGUGAGAUCAAAUGCCUAGAUGGGCAGGUUGGUUUUGACGAAGAGCAAGGAUAAUACUUUCUUUGUCAGAUUGAUCAGGAGAUGAAGAGAGGCAGGUGAAGAUUCAGAGAGGAACAGAACUGAAGGAGCUUGUGUUGGAUGCCUUUAUCCUUUGGGAGAUGAACCCAUGAGAUCACAUCCUAAGAAUGAGGCAGGGAGGGUCAAGUUGGAAAUUUGCGAGUGAAAAUAGACCUGAAUAUCUGGGAUGGGGGACGAGGAAAAGUCAACAAGAGAUGAGAUGCAUAAAAGGCUUUCCCAGCAGAAUGGAGGGGACAGUGGAGAUUAGUCUUAUUUUCUCCAGCUGUGCUGAGAAGACUGGGGUAAAGAUGAAAGCUACCCUGGGUUUCCAGGCAUUAGGAGGACCAAGGUGGAGAAGCCAGGAAGACCUGCAGGUGGGGAGGGUAUGACGUGGAAGCAACCACAUCACUGACCAUGAUCGCAGAAUGGAGGCUGGAUAAGCUGUGUUGUGGGGCAGGGAAAGGAUUGGGAUUUGCAUGGGGGCUGGUAAAACUUGAUUUAGGUUCUUGGGAAUAGGAAAAGGCACAGUUUAAGAAUGGGAAGCUGUUUCAAAGGGAAGAAUCACAGUUCUUGGUUUUAGUAAAUACCAUCAUAAAAAGUUCCAAAACAAGCCAAGCACGGUGGCUCACGCCUGUAAUCCCAGCACUUUGGGAGGCUGAGGUGGGAGGAGAGCUUGAGGCCAGGAGUUCAGACCAGCCCGAGCUACUUAGUGAGACCCUGUCUCUGCAAAAAAUGAAAAAUAAAUUAGCUGGCUCUGCACCCCAGCUACUUGGGAAGCUGAGGUGGGAGGACUGCUUGAGCCCAGGAGGUGGAGACUGCAGUGAACCAUGAUCGUGCCACUGCAUUCCAACCUGGGCAACAGAGACCCUGUCUCAAAAAAAAAAAAAAAAAAAUUGUUCCAAAUCGGACUCAGCAUACCAUAAAUGUCUUAAUAUUCACUCUAGCCAGGUAUUCCUGGUUUUAAGUAUUCACACUAAAAUUCCUUGUAGGACAAAUUGCUCAGGUGCUAUGCUAUAAGGGAUUAUAGUUUAUCUUAGCCAAAGGCAGAAACAUUUAAUCUUCCUUUUUCCUUUGAUGGAAUUAUGUUCUUCCUUACCAUCAACACCUAUUCAUUGAUAGUAUAGUUUUCUGUCUUAACUAUUUAGUGGGUUACUAACAGGAGAACCCACUCUGUUCCAGAAAUUGCCUUGAUGUUAGGAAUUAAAAAAACAAAACAAAACAAAAAACAUGGAGCCGUAUUCUCCAGAAGCUUACAUCUGAUUUAACGAGACAGGCCAGCUGCCAGAAGCUUCUCACUCCGUGGAGACCUUGGAGUCGAGGAUGAAAUGUCUUACAACUGUGGGGAGACCUUGGCUUUUCCAAAGCCUACCAGGGUCCAGGACUUGGAAGCUAAGGCCCAGAGAGGAGGAGAAACUUGAUCAAAGUCAAUCAGACAAUGCAGAAUCGAGAAAAGUACCUGGACCUCUAUGCCCAUGCUUCUAGCAGCCAGCCUCCUAAAAUACCUCUAGUUGAAGCCAAAGUUAGAAUCCUUCUACGAAACUACAGGAUUAAAAUGGUGAUUUUCUGAAGCAAUCUUGUUUUUCCCCCAUUGUUCUUACCUUUCUUCACCUAGGAGACCUAAAAGGCAGGGUUUUCUUCCCAGAACAUGUCUAAUAGUGCAUACCUGAGAUGACCCAGCUAUAAGCCUUUCUUGGUUUAACUGUAGGAGCCCAGGGGUAAAUGGAAUGGAACCAAGGAAGGCAGAGAGAUUGGGGUUGUCAACAUCAUAUCCUGCUUAGAGACUUCUGUAAAAGUUGUCUGAUCUUAUUUUACUUUCCCAACUGAACACUCUAAAGUGUGUCAAGACUUCUAGAUGUUUCUACCCAUUGCCUCCAAAAAUUUAGAUAUGUUUAAAUUCUAUGCCUUUUAAAAAAAUCAAGAAAUUCCUAAAUACUCCCUAAUUGAGAAAUAAUAAAAUUUAAAAGUUCGUAAUAGAGAGCAGUUUGGGGACCUACAGAAGUAGCAAGAGUGCAGGCAGCUCUGCAAUGGGUUCUCUUGCCUUUGUUUCUAAGUAUCAAACUCAGAAACCAACUAAGGGUUGAGGAUGUUGCAGUAGAUGCAUGUUGUCUGUGCCUUCUUAGUAUCCAUUCCCUGACAUUUCUGGUUAACAGUAUCCUGGUUUUUCUUUGGAAAAUCUGCCCUUCCUUAUUUUCAGUCCAAAUGAUUUGAAUGGGGCUGACUCUGACCCUUAACUCCCUUUCCAGGAAUGGUUACAUGACCCAGGCUUGACCAAUCAGAUCAUCCAAACCCUUUGCCACAGUGAUUGGUCCAGGGAUACAUGCAUGAGCCAGCUCAGGUAAAUGAGACUCAAUUAUAAGAAUUUUGUUAGCGCAAUUGGGAAAAAGAAGUUUUCUUUCCAUGAGAACUAUCAGCUAUAAGAAUGUUGGAUGCUUCCAUCUGCUGGAGUCCAUGAAGAAGGUCCAUGAAAAUGAAGCCAGCACAACAACACAGAGCUAAGACAUACAAAGAGAUGGAGAUUAAAUUGAAUGGAACUUUUAAGCCCCUACAUGCCCUUGAAGCCAGAUAUCCCUGAACUUUUAAUUUAUAUUAGUUGAUAAAGUCCUUCUUUAGCUUAAGCCAAUUUGAAUUAGAGUAUUUUUCACUUGGGGUCCAAAAGAGCUCUCAAUACAAAAGUCUGACUGAGUGCAUGAUGUGCUGGUUUCAACCUCAAGGGAACAGGGAAAGGGAAAGAAAGAGGCAGAGGUUGUGAACAGGACAGUAGAAGGUGGUCAGGAGACAAAUAUCUGGACUCAACUUUGUCCCUACUGUGUGGCCUUGAAUAGUGAGUUAACCACUCCGAGCCUCAGUUUCCCCAUCUGGAAAAAAAAGUUAGUGGACAGUCACUAGUUCUCAGACAGAACUCUGUAGCAGCGAGAGGGUAAUGGGGAUUGAGAGUCCCAGACUUGCAUUCUGAGGGACUAGCUCUCCUCUUAUCUAUAUCAUAUACCAGGUUUUCUUGUAAGGUUUUGUUAGAAUGGGUCUCACUGUUAAAAUGGAUUAGCUGAUCAUUUCAGUUCUAUUUAUAUUAAAGUCUAAAUUGAAUCAAGGCUCAGCUGGGGCCCAGUAAGAAUGUAGUGCCUGGUUAAUAAUAUUUUCUACUCUAUGAUAGGAGUUGGCCAGAAGCCAAGGUCAAAAACUCAAUCCCUGGAGGGUUUAUUUGCUUUCUGCAGACAUAAAAAAUUGUUAAUAACAAUGAUCUGCAUCCCCAAUCUUGAGAGCUGUCUUAGAGAUGUGGGUCAUUGAUCACAGAAGGGGCUGGGAAAAGGAAUGUGGAUGAUUCCAAAUAGUCAUUAGCUCUGCCUUAAAUGCCAAUACAAACACUACUGCCAAUGCUCAAGGCAAGCAACCUCUUCAUAGCUAGAACACAGAGGGUGGUGUGCUUGAAGGCUUUUGUUUCUCCUCAAGACAGUGUAGAAAAAGCUGAGAAAACAAAGAGCACUUGUUUCACAAUUAACUGCACAACACCUGAUGUAUAUCCACAGUCCUCUAAAUUAAUAUGGAUUCGCUUUUCUUUAUAAAGACAACAUACACAUUGUAGUGGAAAUCGGAUGGGAGGAUAAUUUUUAUGAAAGCAUAUAACAGUAUUUUUAUAAAAUAUAAAUUAUCAUUACAGUAAAAUAUAUUAACUUCAAGGCAAGUUUUGACACUGUAUGCAAGUUUAAAGUAUUUCAAAUUUUUAAAAAGUGUAUCUUAACAAAUAAAUUUUAGCACCAAUUGCCAGAAUUGUUGUCCACCACUAUAGUCAAAACAAUUUUCUUUUCUUUAUUUCAACUAAAAAUUGUGAAUGGGACUAAAGUCUUUAUGCAAAUAUAUACUCCAAUAAUAAUAUUAAUCUUGCCAACAGUAGCUGAAUAUUUAAUUAACUUUAACAAACAUGUUGAAAGAUAAUAAACUAAAAAAACUAUUUUUCCUUAUAGUCUCUGUAUAACUAGGUGCUUUCUCAUUAGAAAGCUUAUUUUUUCAAAAGUAUAUAUAACAUAGGUAAUUUAUAUUAAUAAAAAAUAAAAAGUUGCAAAUUUCUUGAGGUGUAAUUUCUCAUGUUGAUUAACUUCUGAUCUCUAUCAUUUUGCUUACAUGUACCAUAGAUACACAAAAACCAGAUGGGGGGCAGGGUAAUCAAUCUUAGGAGAGGGCAAUAGUUAAGUCAGACUAGGCAGAGUCAAGACAAGAGGCAGGCAGAGGGUUAGUUGAGGGCAAGUUAUGAAUGCCUCAGAACACAUCUCAGGAUUUGGAAACAAGCAGUAGUCUGGUCAAAUCCAAACUGGGAAACACAGAUGGCG
rnacentral:lncRNA from 1 species